rnacentral:misc_RNA from 1 species
GGAAAACAAGGCUAUUGCAGAAGUUUAUAACGAGGUCUCCUACCUUUUCCGUGGCCAUGCUGAUUUGCUUGAAGAGUUCACCCACUUUUUACCUGAUGCCAUGGCAGCAGCCCGAGCUCGUAAUGCUCAAGCUCAUAGGGCCCCUAUCAUGCGUUAUGAUGAGAAAAGCUCUUCGAUGACUGCAGCAAGGCACAUGCAUGUUGAGAAGAAGGCUACUUCACUAGUUGUCCGGGAGAAUGCUGUUGAUCGGUCUGAUCCAGAAUAUGAAGAAACAACGAUGAGAACUGAAAGGGAAAGAAGGGAACGACAGUAUGAGGAUAGAGAGCUGGACAGAAAAUCUGUUCAUAGAGAUGUUGCUGUUGACCAGUUUGAACCUAGUAUGCAGGACCAUGGUUUUGCUUACUGUGAGCGGGUUAAGGAAAGGUUACAGGAUAUGGGAGAACGAAAACAAUUUUUUAAGUGCCUUAAUUUCUAUUGCAAAGAAGGGGUUACAAGAACACAAUUACAAUCUGGGGUUAGCAGCUUACUUCAGAAACAUCCAGAUCUCAUGGAAGGAUUUGAUGAAUUUAUUUCUCAUUGUGAGAGGACAGAUGGAUAUCUUGCUGCUAUUCUGAGCAAAACACAGUCCUUAUGGAGUGAUGAACCCAAUCCCAAGUCUGAGAAAGUAGAAGACAGGGACAAAGACCGAGAUUGCGAGUGGGAAGAAAGGAAUAGACUUCGUGAGACAAGAGAAAGAGAUAGACCUGUUGCUUAUGC